rnacentral:rRNA from 1 species
UACGUAGGUGGCAAGCGUUGUCCGGAUUUACUGGGCGUAAAGAGCGCGCAGGCGGUCGUCCAAGUCGCGUGUGAAAGCCCCCGGCUCAACUGGGGAGGGUCACGCGAUACUGGUCGACUCGAAGGCAGGAGAGGGUAGUGGAAUUCCCGGUGUAGUGGUGAAAUGCGUAGAUAUCGGAGGAACACCAGUGGCGAAGGCGACUACCUGCCUGUUCUGACGCUGAGGCGCGAAAGCUAGGGGAGCAAACGGG